GCUAGUGCUAGAUAAUUUGAGUUGUUAACCCUUGUUUGCCCUAUGUUCACAGAUUGGGUCUUACCUUUUAAACUCCAAUCAGAGAACUGUAGCUAGGGUGCCUUGUAUUCUGAUCGCCUGCUGAACACCAUAUUGUUUAAGAAAUCUCUGUUCUAAAUCUGUUCUUGUGUUCCCGCCUUUUUAAACAGUGAACCACGAGGCUUUGGAUUUG
rnacentral:misc_RNA from 1 species